GUGGAUUAGAUACCCUAGUAGUCCUGGCCUUAAACGAUGAAUGCUUGGUGUCUGGGGUUAUAAAGUCCCCGGGUGCCGUCGCUAACGCUUUAAGCAUUCCGCCUGGGGAGUACGGUCGCAAGACUGAAACUCAAAGGAAUUGACGGGGACCCGCACAAGCGGUGGAGCAUGUGGUUUAAUUCGACGCAACGCGAAGAACCUUACCUGGGCUAGAAUGCCUCUGACAACCCUAGAGAUAGGGCCUCCAAGGUAAAACUUGGCAGAGUGCAAGGUGCUGCAUGGUUGUCGUCAACU
rnacentral:rRNA from 1 species